CACGUAGGCACCAAGCGUUGUUCGGAUUCAUUGGGCAUAAAGGGUGCGUAGGCGGCGCGGUAAGUCGGGUGUGAAAUCUUGGAGCUUAACUCCGAAACUGCAUUCGAUACUGCGGUGCUUGAGGACUGGAGAGGAGACUGGAAUUCAUGGUGUAGCAGUGAAAUGCGUAGAGAUCAUGAGGAAGACCAGUGGCGAAGGCGGGUCUCUGGACAGUUCCUGACACUGAGGCACGAAGGCCAGGGGGAGCAAAACGGG
rnacentral:rRNA from 1 species